rnacentral:lncRNA from 1 species
CCUACUGAAUCUGUUAUCAUCUCCUCAACGAUGCGGUUAUUGGUGCUGUUGUGCGUGUGCCUGCCGGUGCUUGCAGCGAGCAUGCCUGCGGCGGAGCCGGGAUUCUUCACAACUACCUUGGGCUUCUUCCUCGGGAAAGUAUUGAUAAAGGCCGGAAAGUCUCGCAAAAGAUAGUUCUCAAUAAAGAGAGAAUCAAA